CUUUUAUGGAGAGUUUGAUCCUGGCUCAGGAUGAACGCUGGCGGCGUGCCUAAUACAUGCAAGUCGAGCGA
rnacentral:rRNA from 3 species